rnacentral:tRNA from 1 species
GUUGAAUUAGUAUAUCAGUAUGUAGUGUUGUGAUCACUAAGGUAGUCCUAGAUUAUUCGACU